rnacentral:lncRNA from 1 species
CAGGAUUUUGUAAUAUAUAAUCAUCUUAUUCCAUCUAAUAUAACUAUCUAAUUUCAGAGGGUUCUUUCCUAUUUUAAGCUCACUGGCAGGCAUGAAAAAAGACCACAAAAACUUUGGUGCAAAACCAUCUUUAAAGAUAACAAAACUUACACUCAACCAUGUCAAAACAAUAGAAUAGAUAACACGAUUCAUCUAGCCCUAGCCCUAGUCAGGUUAUUAACUCAGUCUUUAUUCUUUUUAUCUCAGCUUAGCCCUUGCUAAACUAAGUUUGAUUCCAGAAAUAAAAUAACCCUAAGGACUCUACCAUGCAAUAAUGUGAGUAUUCUACUCUAUAUGCAGACUCGAUCUACCCUAAAUUCCAAGUGGGACU